GCAGACAAGCCGGGUUAGGACCCUUUGAGGCUCCGCCCCCCAAGAGGGGGAGCCUUGGGGAGGCUGGGAUCUCCUCUGCUGGAAGACUGGAGCCUGGAUACACAUGUUCAACUCUUAAUGGGAUUAUUACAAUGUUUAGAAUAGAACUAUCGUUCUAUAGCUCUGACCGAUCAUUGGAGAGCAGGUAGGGGUUAGACAGUACAGAGACAGGUCAUUAAGGAGCAGGUAGGGGUUAGACAGUACAGAGACAGGUCAUUAAGGAGCAGGUAGGGGUUAGACAGUACAGAGACAGGUCAUUAAGGAGCAGGUAGGGGUUAGACAGUACCGAGACAGGUCAUUAAGGAGCAGGUAGGGGUUAGACAGUACAGAGACAGGUCAUUAAGGAGCAGGUAGGGGUUAGACAGUACAGAGACAGGUCAUUAAGGAGCAGGUAGGGGUUAGACAGUACAGAGACAGGUCAUUAAGGAGCAGGUAGGGGUUAGACAGUACAGAGAUAGGUCAUUAAGGAGCAGGUAGGGGUUAGACAGUACAGAGACAGGUCAUUAAGGAGCAGGUAGGGGUUAGACAGUACAGAGAUAGGUCAUUAAGGAGCAGGUAGG
ensembl:lncRNA